UAUAUAUGUAUGUAUGUAUGUAUGUAUGUGUAUGUGUAUACACACACACACACAUACACACACACACACACACACACA
rnacentral:miRNA from 1 species